rnacentral:antisense_RNA from 1 species
AGCAAGACUUGAAACCAACUCGCACCCUCAAAGCUCCGGAAGCCAUUCAGUGUUUCCAUCUUGGCCGAGUGAGUUCUUCACUGAAACUCAAUUUGACUUUGACAGUCAUCUAAUGAGAACUCAAAAGUCAUUCUUGGUUCAGCCACAGUCAAAGAACUUGCAGAGCAUUCUCUGACGAGGUCCUCAAGGACAACUGAGAGAAGGCAGAAAGGUGUUAAAUGGUUUGCAGAAUUGUUGGGAAGGCUAAGCUUCCAGGAGCAGCUCCCAAAGUCUCCACACACAACUGGACCACCAGGGAACCUGCUCCCUCCACCAAGACAGGACUUGGAAACCUGCCACCGCAAUUACCAGCACCAGAAGGAUCUUGUCUCUGCUAAGUCUCUGUCCACAUAGUGAAUACCCCGUGCCCUGCCUCUCUCUCCCUGACUCAGGUCCCAUUCCAGGUCUUGCCCAAGUCUUUCUGAUUGGUGGAACUUAAAUCACACCCAAAAUUCCAGCUGCAGGAGAGCUCUGAGAUUUCAUCUUUCCAACCUCUGUGUGCUACGUGGGGGUUGGAGCACUUGCUGACAAGCCUUGCAACCACCAUUGACAGGAUGUCCUCCACCUUUUCAAUCUGAUUUGCUCUUUGCCAUGCAGACCUGUGGAUGAAGAGCCAGAGUCCUCCAAGGUGAAGCUGGACUGAAUAUUUCUGUCCGUAAGACUAUUAGAAUCCCCCACAGUGGGAUACCAGUGAGGACCUCACCAGCAGCUGCUGUCUCUCCAAUGCAGAGCUUCCUGCCUCCUGCCCAGCCCCUGCUGUCAGAGAUACUUGGUGCUUCCAGUUCUGGAGACUUCCUU